AAUCCAUGCAUCGGACAUUUCCAAAUUAAGUCUUUAACUCAUUCCCAAGCUUCAUAUAAUGUUUCAUACUCUAAUUUUCAAAAUGAUGUGAUGUCAUUUCUAAGCUU
rfam:Gossypium hirsutum cultivar TM-1 chromosome 22, whole genome shotgun sequence